rnacentral:rRNA from 1 species
CCUACGGGAGGCAGCAGUGGGGAAUCUUGCACAAUGGAGGAAACUCUGAUGCAGCGAUGCCGCGUGAGUGAAGAAGGCCUUUGGGUUGUAAAGCUCUUUUGUAGGGGAAGAUAAUGACUGUACCCUAAGAAUAAGGUCCGGCUAACUUCGUGCCAGCAGCCGCGGUAAUACGAAGGGACCUAGCGUAGUUCGGAAUUACUGGGCGUAAAGCGCGCGUAGGCCGUUGAGUUAGUUAAUUGUGAAAUCCCAAAGCUUAACUUUGGAACUGCAAUUAAAACUGCUCGACUAGAGUUUGAUAGAGGAAAGCGGAAUACAUAGUGUAGAGGUGAAAUUCGUAGAUAUUAUGUAGAACACCAGUUGCGAAGGCGGCUUUCUGGAUCAACACUGACGCUGAGGCGCGAAAGUAUGGGUAGCAAAGAGGAUUAGAUACCCUCGUAGUCCAUACCAUAAACGAUGAUUGCUAGAUGUUGGAAAUUUAUUUUCAGUAUCGNANCACNCAUANANAUCNCNGGAGAGACGCAGUAACUUAAUANAUAGNGNGNGAGANGCGAGACGACACGAGGAGAG